AGUGAACGCUGGCGGUAGGCCUAACACAUGCAAGUCGAACGGCAGCACAGUAAGAGCUUGCUCUUACGGGUGGCGAGUGGCGGGCGGGUGAGGAAUACAUCGGAAUCUACUUUUUCGUGGGGGCUAACGUAGGGAAACUUACGCUAAUACCGCAUACGACCUACGGGUGGAAGCAGGGGAUCUUCGGCCCUUGCGCGAUUGAAUGAGCCGAUGUCGGAUUAGCUAGUUGGCGGGGUAAAGGCCCACCAAGGCGACGAUCCGUAGCUGGUCUGAGAGGAUGAUCAGCCACACUGGAACUGAGACACGGUCCAGACUCCUACGGGAGGCAGCAGUGGGGAAUAUUGGACAAUGGGCGCAAGCCUGAUCCAGCCAUACCGCGUGGGUGAAGAAGGCCUUCGGGUUGUAAAGCCCUUUUGUUGGGAAAGAAAAGCAGCAGGUUAAUACCCCGCUGUUCUGACGGUACCCAAAGAAUAAGCACCGGCUAACUUCGUG
rnacentral:rRNA from 1 species